rnacentral:rRNA from 1 species
GAUGAACGCUAGCUACAGGCUUAACACAUGCAAGUCGAGGGGAAACGACAUCGAAAGCUUGCUUUUGAUGGGCGUCGACCGGCGCACGGGUGAGUAACGCGUAUCCAACCUGCCCAUCACUUGGGAAUAACCUUGCGAAAGUAAGACUAAUACCCAAUGAUAUCCCACGAAGGCAUCGGAAUGGGAUUAAAGAUUUAUCGGUGAUGGAUGGGGAUGCGUCUGAUUAGCUUGUUGGCGGGGUAACGGCCCACCAAGGCAACGAUCAGUAGGGGUUCUGAGAGGAAGGUCCCCCACAUUGGAACUGAGACACGGUCCAAACUCCUACGGGAGGCAGCAGUGAGGAAUAUUGGUCAAUGGGCGAGAGCCUGAACCAGCCAAGUAGCGUGCAGGAAGACGGCCCUAGGGGUUGUAAACUGCUUUUAUAAGGGAAUAAAGUGGGUCACGUGUGACUUUUUGCAUGUACCUUAUGAAUAAGGACCGGCUAAUUCCGUG